rnacentral:hammerhead_ribozyme from 1 species
AACCAACAGAGAUUGAAAGCCAACUGACGAUCCUCGUAGCUGAGGUGAAAUCUAGAUAUUGGCGGCUGCAUCUCACC